CCUACGGGUGGCAGCAGUGAGGAAUAUUGGUCAAUGGGCGCGAGCCUGAACCAGCCAAGUCGCGUGAGGGAAGACGGUCCUAUGGAUUGUAAACCUCUUUUGUCGGGGAGCAAACGACGCCACGCGUGGCGUUCCGAGAGUACCCUAAGAACAAGCAUCGGCUAACUCCGUGCCAGCAGCCGCGGUAAUACGGAGGAUGCGAGCGUUAUCCGGAUUUAUUGGGUUUAAAGGGUGCGCAGGCGGAAGAUCAAGUCAGCGGUAAAAUUGAGAGGCUCAACCUCUUCGAGCCGUUGAAACUGGUGUUCUUGAGUGAGCGAGAAGUAUGCGGAAUGCGUGGUGCAGCGGUGAAAUGCAUAGAUAUCACGCAGAACUCCGAUUGCGAAGGCAGCAUACCGGCGCUCAACUGACGCUCAUGCACGAAAGUGUGGGUAUCGAACAGGAUUAGAUACCCUUGUAGUC
rnacentral:rRNA from 1 species